rnacentral:rRNA from 1 species
UGGGCCUGUGGCCGAUUAGCUAGUUGGUGUGGUAAGAGCGCACCAAGGCUCCGAUCUGUAGCUGGUCUGAGAGGACGAUCAGCCACACUGGGACUGAGACACGGCCCAGACUCCUACGGGAGGCAGCAGUGGGGAAUCUUGCGCUAAUGCGGGAAACCGUGACGCAGCGACGCCGCGUGAGGGAAGAAGGCCUUCGGGUUGUAAACCUCUUUCAGGAGGGACGAAGCUACUCGGGUGAAUAGCCCAGAGGGUGACGGUACCUCCAGAAGAAGCCCCGGCUAACUACGUGCCAGCAGCCGCGGUAAUACGUAGGGGGCAAGCGUUGUCCGGAUUUAUUGGGCGUAAAGAGCGUGUAGGCGGCUAGGUAGGUCCGUUGUGAAAACUCGAGGCUCAA